rnacentral:rRNA from 1 species
GACGAACGCUGGCGGCGUGCUUAACACAUGCAAGUCGAACGAUGAAGGAGAGAAACGCGAACUUCGGUUCAACUUUCACUUCGGAUUAGUGGCAGACGGGUGAGUAACGCGUGAGCAACCUACCUCUUACAAAGGGAUAGCCUCGGGAAACCGUGAUUAAUACCAUAUGACACAUUCAUAAGGCAUCUUAAGAAUGUUAAAGCUACGGCGGUAAGAGAUGGGCUCGCGUCCCAUUAGCUAGUUGGUGAGGUAACGGCCCACCAAGGCGACGAUGGGUAACCGGGCAGAGAGGGUGAACGGUCACAUUGGAACUGAGACGCGGUCCAGACUCCUACGGGAGGCAGCAGUGGGGAAUAUAGCAAAAUGGAGGGAACUCUGAUGCAGCGCCGCCGGGUGAGCGAUGAAGGAAUUCGUUUCGUAAAGCUCUGUUCUAUGGGAAGAAAAGGACUGUACCAUAGGAGAAAGCCCCGGCUAAAUACGUG